rnacentral:rRNA from 1 species
CUACGGGUGGCAGCAGUGGGGAAUUUUGCGCAAUGGGCGAAAGCCUGACGCAGCAACGCCGCGUGCGGGAUGAAGGCCUUCGGGUCGUAAACCGCUUUCAGCAGGGAAGAAGUUGACUGUACCUGCAGAAGAAGCUCCGGCUAACUACGUGCCAGCAGCCGCGGUAAUACGUAGGGAGCGAGCGUUAUCCGGAUUUAUUGGGCGUAAAGCGCGCGUAGGCGGCUUGCCAAGCGGGAUCUCAAAACCGAGGGCUCAACCCCCGGACGGAUCCCGAACUGGCAGGCUCGAGUUCGGUAGGGGAAGAUGGAAUUCCCAGUGUAGCGGUGAAAUGCGCAGAUAUUGGGAAGAACACCGAUGGCGAAGGCAGUCUUCUGGGCCGCAACUGACGCUGAGGUGCGAAAGCUAGGGGAGCGAACAGGAUUAGAUACCCCUGUAGUC